AAUGAACGUUGGCGGCGUGGAUUAGGCAUGCAAGUCGAGCGGUAAGGCUCCUUCGGGAGUACACGAGCGGCGAAAGGGAGAGUAACGCGUGGAUUAUCUACCCUGGGGUCCGGAAUAGCUGCGGGAAACUGCAGGUAAUGCCGGAUAAUAUCUACGGAUCAAAGGUGUGAUUCCGCCCUUGGAGGAGUCCGCGUCCUAUUAGCUUGUUGGUGGGGUAAUGGCCUACCAAGGCGACGAUGGGUACCGGGUGUGAGAGCAUGACCCGGCUCACUGGGACGGAGAAACUGCCCAGAACCCUACGGGUGGCUGCAGUCGAGAAUCUUCGGCAAUGGGGGCAAGCCUGGCCGGGCGACGCGGCGUGGGGGAUGAAGGCCUUCGGGUUGUAAACCACUGUCGUAGAGGAGGAAAUGCAUUGGGGUUCUCCCCAGUGUUUGACCUAUUCUAGGAGGAAGGACGGGCUAAGUUCGUGCCAGCAGCCGCCGUAA
rnacentral:rRNA from 1 species